UACAGAGGUGGCAAGCGUUGUUCGGAAUUACUGGGCGUAAAGGGCGCGUAGGCGGUUCGUUAAGUCCUGUGUGAAAUCCCCCGGCUCAACUGGGGAACUGCACAGGAAACUGGCGGGCUUGAGUUCGGGAGAGGGAAGCGGAAUUCCGGGUGUAGCGGUGAAAUGCGUAGAUAUCGGGAGGAACACCGGUGGCGAAGGCGGGUUCUCUGGGCCCUGUAC
rnacentral:rRNA from 1 species